GGGCCCGCACAAGCGGUGGAGCAUGUGGUUUAAUUCGAUGAUACGCGAGGAACCUUACCAGGGCUUAAAUGUAACGGGACAGAUCUAGAGAUAGAUCCUUCUUCGGACUCAUUACAAGGUGCUGCAUGGUUGUCGUCAGCUCGUGCCGUGAGGUGUCAGGUUAAGUCCUAUAACGAGCGCAACCCCCAUCGUUAGUUGCCAACGAGUAAUGUCGGGAACUCUAACGAAACUGCCGGUGCAAAACCGUGAGGAAGGUGGGGAUGACGUCAAAUCAUCACGGCCCUUACGUCCUGGGGCUACACACGUGCUACAAUGGUCGGUACAGAGAGCAGCCACUACGCGAGUAGGAGCA
rnacentral:rRNA from 1 species